rnacentral:rRNA from 1 species
CCUACGGGAGGCAGCAGUGGGGAAUAUUGCACAAUGGGGGAAACCCUGAUGCAGCGACGCCGCGUGAGUGAAGAAGUAUUUCGGUAUGUAAAGCUCUAUCAGCAGGGAAGAGAAUGACGGUACCUGAGUAAGAAGCUCCGGCUAACUACGUGCCAGCAGCCGCGGUAAUACGUAGGGGGCAAGCGUUAUCCGGAUUUACUGGGUGUAAAGGGAGCGUAGACGGCGAAGAAAGUCUGAAGUGAAAGCCCGCGGCUCAACCGCGGAACUGCGUUGGAAACUUUUUUGCUGGAGUACCGGAGAGGUAAGCGGAAUUCCUAGUGUAGCGGUGAAAUGCGUAGAUAUUAGGAGGAACACCAGUGGCGAAGGCGGCUUACUGGACGGUAACUGACGUUGAGGCGCGAAAGCGUGGGGAGCAAACAGGAUUAGAUACCCCAGUAGUC